GGCCUUAAGGUGUAGUGCAUUAGCGAUUGCAAGUCGUUUGGGGCGGGUAAUACCGCUAAGGCUU
rnacentral:tRNA from 1 species